AUUGAACGCUGGCGGCAGGCCUAACACAUGCAAGUCGAGCGAGCGGCGGACGGGUGAGUAAUGUAUGGGGACUGCCCGAUAGCGGGGGAUAACUACUGGAAACGGUAGCUAAUACCGCAUACUAUCGGAUAACCCAUAUGGGAUUAGCUAGUAGGUGAGGUAAUGGCGCACCUAGGCGACGAUCCCUAGCUGGUCUGAGAGGAUGAUCAGGCACACGGUGACAGAGACACGGCCCAGACUCCCACGGAGGACGCAGUGGGGAAGAUGGCACAAUGGGCGCAAGCCUGAUGCAGCCAUGCAGCGUGUAUGAAGAAGGCCCGAGGGUUGUAAAGUACUUUCAGUCGGGAGGCGUUACCGACAGAAGAAGCACCGGCUAACUCCGUGCCAGCCGCCGCGGUAAUUC
rnacentral:rRNA from 1 species